GACGAACGCUGGCGGCGUGCUUAACACAUGCAAGUCGAACGGAAAGGCCCUGCUUGCAGGGUACUCGAGUGGCGAACGGGUGAGUAACACGUGGGUGAUCUGCCCUGCACUUCGGGAUAAGCCUGGGAAACUGGGUCUAAUACCGGAUAGGAGCCAUUUUUAGUGUGAUGGUUGGAAAGUUUUUUCGGUGUAGGAUGAGCUCGCGGCCUAUCAGCUUGUUGGUGGGGUAAUGGCCUACCAAGGCGGCGACAGGUAGCCGGCCUGAGAGGGUGGACGGCCACAUUGGGACUGAGAUACGGCCCAGACUCCUACGGGAGGCAGCAGUGGGGAAUAUUGCACAAUGGGCGCAAGCCUGAUGCAGCGACGCCGCGUGGGGGAUGACGGCCUUCGGGUUGUAAACUCCUUUCGCUAGGGACGAAGCUUUUUGUGACGGUACCUAGAUAAGAAGCACCGGCUAACUACGUG
rnacentral:rRNA from 1 species